GAUCCUGGCUCAGGACGAACGCUGGCGGCGUGCCUAAUACAUGCAAGUAGAACGCUGAAGGAGGAGCUUGCUUCUCUGGAUGAGUUGCGAACUGGUGAGUAACGCGUAGGUAACCUGCCUGGUAGCGGGGGAUAACUAUUGGAAACUAUAGCUAAUACCGCAUAAGAGUAGAUGUUGCAUGACAUUUACUUAAAAGGUGCAAUUGCAUCACUACCAGAUGG
rnacentral:rRNA from 1 species